UAAGACCAAAAUGAUGUUCAUGGUGAU
rnacentral:piRNA from 1 species